rnacentral:rRNA from 1 species
AAAAACAUAACCUUUAGCCAAACAAAUAUUAAAGGCAACGCCUGCCCAGUGAACAAUUAAACGGCCGCGGUACCCUAACCGUGCAAAGGUAGCGUAAUCAUUUGUCUACUAAUUAUAGACCUGUAUGAAAGGCAAAAUGAGGGUUUAGCUGUCUCUUAUAAUAAAUCAAUUAAACUGAUCUCCCAGUACAAAAGCUGGGAUUCCGACAUAAGACCAGAAGACCCUGUGAAGCUUAAACUAAACUAUUAAAACACAUAAUAGCUACUUUCGGUUGGGGCGACCUUGGAAAAAAGAAAAACUUCCAAGACCCAGUAAAACUGAUAAAUGAACCAAGUUACUCCAGGGAUAACAGCGCAAUCUUCUUCAAGAGCCCAUAUCAAAAAGAAGGUUUACGACCUCGAUGUUGGAUCAGGACAUCCUAAUGGUGCAGCCGCUAUUAAGGGUUCGUUUGUUCAACGAUUAACAGUCCUACGUGAUCUG